CUACCUCCACCCUGUGCCUCCCACCUCAUUUGUCAGCCAGGAUGCUGACGGGCAAUAUUCCCUUACCCACCAAGCUCAACUUCUACCUUUAGAGGUAUCAGCCUGCCAAACCUGCCAGCUCCCCAUGACUGUUAGUGUGGGGAGGUCCAUUGUUUUAGUGACCAUGAAUGGUCGCUAUGAUCUUGUCCUCCCUGAAGCACAUUGUGAAUGUUGUGCCUCUCAUUGGACACCUGCGCUGGAAGACGUUGUGCAAAGUGGGUACUGGCCAGGGACGGUCAACUUCAAUAGUCUGUUUCAUGUUGACGUUUUCCAGUCAUACCUGGAGUUAAAAAUGUCAGCACCUGGACUGUCCCGUCUGGCAUUUACCACAAUGCUAGACAAAAAAAACAGCCGCUUUGGAAGAGUGAGUACCGUGUGUGGCACUAAUAGUGGAUAUAUUCAUCACUGCCUGGUAAACUAUACACA